UCUCAAGAGAAUGCCCAGAGGCACGUU
rnacentral:piRNA from 1 species